rnacentral:rRNA from 1 species
CCUACGGGUGGCAGCAGUGGGGAAUAUUGGACAAUGGGGGGAAUCCUGAUCCAGCGACGCCGCGUGAGUGAAGAAGUAUUUCGGUAUGUAAAGCUCUAUCAGCAGGGAAGAAAGAAAUGACGGUACCUGACUAAGAAGCUCCGGCUAACUACGUGCCAGCAGCCGCGGUAAUACGUAGGGGGCAUGCCUUAUCCGGAUUUACUGGGUGUAAAGGGAGCGUAGGCGGCGAUGCGAGGCUGAAGUGAAAGGCGGGGGCCCAACCCCCGGACUGCUGUGGAAACUGGCAGUCUGGAGUGGAGGAGAGGUAAGUGGAAUGCGUGGUGUAGCGGUGAAAUGCGUAGAUAUUGCGAGGAACACCAGUGGCGAAGGCAGCUUACCGG